GAUGAACGCUAGCGGCAGGCUUAAUACAUGCAGGUCGAGGGGCAGCGCAGUGUAGCAAUACAUGGGCGGCGACCGGCAAACGGGUGCGGAACACGUACGCAACCUUCCUUUAAGUGGGGGAUAGCCCAGGGAAACUUGGAUUAAUACCCCGUAAUAUUAUGAAGUGGCAUCACUUUAUACUUAUAGCUCCGGCGCUUAAAGAUGGGCGUGCGACUGAUUAGGUAGUUGGCGGGGUAACGGCCCACCAAGCCUGCGAUCAGUAACUGGUGUGAGAGCACGACCAGUCACACGGGCACUGAGACACGGGCCCGACUCCUACGGGAGGCAGCAGUAAGGAAUAUUGGUCAAUGGACGCAAGUCUGAACCAGCCAUGCCGCGUGGAGGAUGAAGGUCCUCUGGAUUGUAAACUUCUUUUAUUUGGGAAGAAACCCACUGUUUCUACGGUGGUUGACGGUACCAGAUGAAUAAGCACCGGCUAACUCCGUGCCAGCCGCCGCGGUAAGAC
rnacentral:rRNA from 1 species